rnacentral:rRNA from 1 species
UACGAAGGGGGCUAGCGUUGUCCGGAAUUAUUGGGCGUAAAGAGCGUGUAGGCGGCCCGGUAAGUCCGCUGUGAAAGUCCAGGGCUCAACCCUGGAAUGCCGGUGGAUACUGUCGGGCUAGAGUUCGGGAAGAGGCAAGUGGAAUUCCUGGUGUAGCGGUGGAAUGCGCAGAUAUCAGGAGGAACACCUAUAGCAAGGCAGCUCUGGGAC